GACGAACGCUGGCGGCGUGCUUAACACAUGCAAGUCGAGCGAUGAAGUCUCUUCGGAGAUGGAUUAGCGGCGGACGGGUGAGUAACACGUGGGUAACCUGCCUCAUAGAGGGGAAUAGCCUUUCGAAAGGAAGAUUAAUGCCCCAUAAGAUUGUAGUACCGCAUGGUAUAGCAAUUAAAGGAGUAAUCCGCUAUGAGAUGGACCCGCGUCGCAUUAGCUAGUUGGUGAGGUAACGGCUCACCAAGGCGACGAUGCGUAGCCGACCUGAGAGGGUGAUCGGCCACACUGGGACUGAGACACGGCCCAGACUCCUACGGGAGGCAGCAGUGGGGAAUAUCGCACAAUGGGGGAAACCCUGAUGCAGCAACGCCGCGUGAGUGAUGACGGUCUUCGGAUUGUAAAGCUCUGUCUUCAGGGACGAUAAUGACGGUACCUGAGGGGGAAGCCACGGCUAACUACGUGCCAGCCGCCGCGGUAA
rnacentral:rRNA from 1 species